AUGCAGGUCACCGUGUACUGCGUGCGGAGGGACCUGUCCGAGGCCACCUUCUCCCUCCAGGUCAGCCCUGACUUCGAGCUGUACAACUUCCGCCUCCUCUGUGAGCUCGAGUCCGGCAUCCCCGCCGACGAGAUCCAGGUCAUCUUCCUGGAGCGGCUCCUGGCUGACGACCACCGCUCCCUGAGCUCCUACGGCCUCCGAGACGGCGACGUGGUGGUGCUGCUGCAGAAGGACGGCGCGGGGCCUCGGCCGCCCGGACGGACAGCCAGUCUGCGGCGGAUGGACUGCCCCGGGGGAGCCGAGCCGGGGACGUCCAGCUGCCGCGCACCCCACGCGCCCCACGCGCCGCACGCGCCGCACCCGGCCCCGCGGGGCCAGCAGUCCCACGGCCUGGGCUGCGGAGAGAAGAGGCCGUCCGCGCAAGGCCUGGACAGCCCCGCCCUGAUCCGGAGCAUGCUGCUGUCCAACCCCCACGACCUGUCGCUGCUCAAGGAGCACAACCAGCCCCUGGCCGAAGCCCUGCUCAGCGGGAACCUCGAGACCUUUUCUCAGGUCCUCAGGGGGCAGCAGAGGGAGAGGGCCCUGCGAGAGCAGGAGCGGCUGCGUCUCUUCGCCGCCGACCCCUUUGAUUUGGAAGCUCAGGCCAAAAUAGAAGAAGAAAUCCGGCAGCAGAACAUUGAGGAAAACAUGAGCAUCGCGAUGGAAGAGGCUCCGGAGAGUUUCGGGCAGGUGACCAUGCUCUACAUCAACUGCAAAGUGAACGGACACCCUCUGAAGGCUUUCGUGGACUCUGGUGCCCAGAUGACCAUUGUGAGCCAAGCUUGUGCCGAGAGAUGUAACAUAAUUCGGCUGGUGGACCGCCGGUGGGCUGGCAUCGCCAAGGGGGUGGGCACGCAGAGAAUUAUUGGCCGGGUCCAUCUAGCCCAGAUUCAGAUCGAAGGCGAUUUCCUCCAGUGCUCGUUCUCUAUCCUGGAGGAGCAACCCAUGGACAUGCUUCUAGGACUAGACAUGCUCAGGAGACACCAGUGUUCCAUCGACCUGAAGAAAAACGUGCUGGUGAUCGGCACCACGGGCACGCAGACUCACUUUCUUCCCGAGGGGGAGUUACCCCUCUGUGCCAAGCUGGUGUGCGGUGCUGGGCAAGAAGACUCUCCAGACAAGGAAGUAGCGGAUGCUAUUGAGCAUUCGGUCAAGGAUUUAGGACGGAAAAAGCGUUGAAAUGGGUUAUGAAUAUGCCACUAUCUUGGGGAAGCCUCAGGUCCGGGGAGAUUCUAAGACAUGAGCUCACUGGCAAUGUAAUCAUUAAAAACAUCAGUAACAACC